rnacentral:rRNA from 1 species
GCAUGAAGUUGGAAUUGCUAGUAAUCGCGGAUCAGCAUGCCGCGGUGAAUACGUUCCCGGGCCUUGUACACACCGCCCGUCACACCAUGGGAGCCGGUAAUACCCGAAGUCAGUAGCCUAACCGCAAGGAGGGCGCUGCCGAAGGUAGGAUUGGCGACUGGGGUGAAGUCGUAACAAGGUAGC